rnacentral:rRNA from 1 species
GACGCCCCACCAGGCACGAUCGUAGGGUUCGAGACGUCUCACUGAUCGGACGGACCAAUCUACGAAGGCAGCAUAGAUUGUCAAUGGCGGAAGCUGACAGCCAGUAGCUGCAGAUGACUGCGUAUGGAUGUACUGCUUUAUACGGGAUAGUCAGGUCGUGACUGUUGCAGUACGUAUGAUAGACGCUAUCGUGCAGCAGCGCGUAUACGAGUCAGCGUAUCGGAUUAUGGGUUUAAAGGGAGCGUAGGCAGAGAUUAAGUGUGUGUGAAAUGUAGAUGCUCAACAUCUGCACUGCAGCGCAUACUGGUUUCCUUGAGUACACGCAACGUUGGCGGAAUUUCGUCGUGUAGCGGUGAAAUGCUUAGAUAUGACGAAGAACUCCGAUUGCGAAGGCAGCUGACGGGAGUGCAACUGACGCUGAAGCUCGAAAGUGCGGGUAUCGAACAGGAUUAGAUACCCUGGUAGUCCGCACGGUAAACGAUGGAUGCCCGCUAUUCGCUCGAAUGAGUGAGUGGCCAAGCGAAAGCAUUAAGCAUCCCACCUGGGGAGUACGCCGGCAACGGUGAAACUCAAAGGAAUUGACGGGGGCCCGCACAAGCGGAGGAACAUGUGGUUUAAUUCGAUGAUACGCGAGGAACCUUACCCGGGCUUGAAUUGCAGAUGAACGAUCCAGAGAUGGUGAGGCCCUUCGGGGCAUCUGUGAAGGUGCUGCAUGGUUGUCGUCAGCUCGUGCCGUGAGGUGUCGGCUUAAGUGCCAUAACGAGCGCAACCCCUGUUCUUAGUUGCCAUCAGGUAAUGCUGGGCACUCUGGGAAUACUGCCACCGUAAGGUGUGAGGAAGGUGGGGAUGACGUCAAAUCAGCACGGCCCUUACGUCCGGGGCUACACACGUGUUACAAUGGCCGGUACAGAGAGUUGGUCGUGCGCAAGUACGGUCUAAUCCAUAAAACCGGUCUCAGUUCGGACUGGGGUCUGCAACCCGACCCCACGAAGCUGGAUUCGCUAGUAAUCGCGCAUCAGCCAUGGCGCGGUGAAUACGUUCCCGGGCCUUGUACACACCGCCCGUCAAGCCAUGAAAGCCGAGGGUGCCUGAAGUCCGUGACCGCAAGGAUCGGCCUAGGGCAAAAUCGGUAAUUGGGGCUAAGUCGUAACAAGGUAAAUCACUGCCGUCGUA